ACUAGGCUGAUGCAGUUAAAGCUCGUAGUUGGAUUUCGGGUGGGUGUCGCCGGUCUGCCUCUGGUAUGUACUGGCGCUGCUCACCUUUCUGCCGGGGACGGGCUCCUGGGCUUAACUGUCUGGGACUCGGAGUCGGCGUUGUUACUUUGAGUAAAUUAGAGUGUUCAAAGCAAGCCUUCGCUCUGAAUACAUUAGCAUGGAAUAACACGAUAGGACUCUGGCCUAUCUUGUUGGUCUGUAGGACCGGAGUAAUGAUUAAGAGGGACAGUCGGGGGCAUUCGUAUUUCAUUGUCAGAGGUGAAAUUCUUGGAUUUAUGAAAGACGAACUUCUGCGAAAGCAUUUGCCAAGGAUGUUUUCAUUGAUCAAGAACGAAAGUUGGGGGCUCGAAGA
rnacentral:rRNA from 1 species